rnacentral:rRNA from 1 species
UACGUAGGUGACCAGCGUUGUCCGGAUUUACUGGGCGUAAAGAGCGCGCAGGCGGUCGUUCAAGUCGAGUGUGAAAGCCCCCGGCUCAACUGGGGAGGGUCACUCGAUACUGAUCGACUUGAAGGCAGGAGAGGGAAGCGGAAUUCCCGGUGUAGUGGUGAAAGUGCGUAGAUAUCGGGAAGAACACCCGUGGCUAAGGCGGCUCUCUAGUACGGUACUGACGCUGAGACGCGAAAGCGUGGGGAGCGAACAGG